GUAGUCUCGCACAGAUGCAUAUCAAUAAGCGGAGGAAAAGGCUGCAGAACUGAACGACCGCUACCUACGCUUAGGAUGUUGACGAGACUGUCGAUCUCAUCUAUACAUGGCUCUGUGCAUAUCAAUAAGCGGAGGAAAAGAAACUAACAAGGAUUCCCCUAGUAACGGCGAGUGAAGCGGGAAGAGCUCAAAUUUGAAAUCUUAAAGGGUUUCCCUUUACGAAUUGUAGUUUAAAGAAGUGUUUUCUGUUGAGGUUUUGGUAAAAGUUCUUUGGAAUAGGACAUCAUAGAGGGUGAGAAUCCCGUAUUUGACCUUUACUUUCAACUUUGUGAUACACUUUCAAAGAGUCGGAUUGUUUGGGAAUGCAGUCCAAAAUGGGUGGUAAAUUUCAUCUAAAGCUAAAUAUUGGCGAGAGACCGAUAGCGAACAAGUACCGUGAGGGAAAGAUGAAAAGAACUUUGAAAAGAGAGUUAAACAGUACGUGAAAUUGUCAAAAGGGAAGCGUUUGACACCAGUGUUGUUUUUCUGAAAAUCAAUUAAAGAACUGUUUAUGCUAAGUUGUUUAGACUUUAUCAGCUAACUGUUUAGUUUUGAGCUUUUCUUUAAUGCACCUUUUCAGUUAACAAGUCAACAUCAAUUUCUUUUGCUGUAAAAAAGCUUGAGGAAGGUGGCUUGAGAUUCGUCUUAAGUGUUUAUAGCCUCUUGCCUAUGCAGUCGGAGAGAUUGAGGUCUGCAGCGUAGAUCCUUCGGGGCUAAAUGCAUUUGUGCUAAGUUAUAGCAUUUUAUAGACAACUUGUUGACUAUGAUUUGUCUUGUAGCUUACUCGCUUAUGUUAUUUUACCUACGCUUAGGAUGUUGAUCUGUAGUGCGUGCGC
rnacentral:rRNA from 1 species